GGUAGGCAAAUCCGCCACUCUAGCUGAACGUCGAUAGUACCGCAAGCCUUCGGGUGAGUGGAUAGCGCAGGUAAUCAGACUUCCAAGAAAAACCGCUAAGCUUCAGGUUAUAAAAACCCGUACCGCAAACCGACACAGGUAUCCGGGAAGAGAAUUCUAAGGUGCUCGAGUGAAUCAUGGCUAAGGAACUCGGCAAAAUGGCCCUGUAACUUCGGGAGAAGGGGCGCUGGUAGCAAUAUCAGCCGCAGUGAAAAGGCCCAGGCGACUGUUUAACAAAAACACAUGGCUUUGCAAAAUCGAAAGAUGAAGUAUAAGGCCUGACACCUGCCCGGUGCUGGAAGGUUAAGAGGGGAUGUUAGGGUUAAACCGACGCAUUGAAUCGAAGCCCCAGUAAACGGCGGCCGUAACUAUAACGGUCCUAAGGUAGCGAAAUUCCUUGUCGGGUAAGUUCCGACCUGCACGAAUGGUGUAACGAUCUGGGCGCUGUCUCAGCCAUGAGCUCGGUGAAAUUGUGGUCCCGGUGAAGACGCCGGGUACCCGCAACGGGACGGAAAGACCCCAUGCACCUUCACUACAAUUUAACAUUGACAUUGGAUACAGGAUGUGUAGGAUAGGUGGGAGACUAUGAAGGGGCGUCGCUAGGCGUUCUGGAGUCAACGUUGAAAUACCACCCUUUCUGUAUUCGGUGUCUAACUCUACUUGGUAGAGGACAUUGUUUGAUGGGUAGUUUGACUGGGGUGGUCGCCUCCAAAAAGGUAACGGAGGCUUUCAAAGGUAAGCUCAAUACGCUUGGUAACCGUAUGAGGAGUGCAAUAGCAUAAGCUUGCUUGACUGUGAGGCAGACAAGCCGAGCAGGGUCGAAAGACGGAUAUAGUGAUCCGGUGGUUCUGCAUGGAAGGGCCAUCGCUCAAAGGAUAAAAGGUACGCUGGGGAUAACAGGCUGAUCUCCCCCAAGAGCUCAUAUCGACGGGGAGGUUUGGCACCUCGAUGUCGGCUCGUCACAUCCUGGGGCUGGAGAAGGUCCCAAGGGUUCGGCUGUUCGCCGAUUAAAGUGGCACGCGAGCUGGGUUCAGAACGUCGCGAGACAGUUCGGUCCCUAUCUGUUGUGGGCGUAGGAAUUUUGAGUGGGGCUGACCUUAGUACGAGAGGACCGGGUUGGACUAGCCUCUAGUGAAUCUGUUGUUCCGCCAGGGGCAUUGCAGAGUAGCUACGCUGGGAAUAGAUAAGUGCUGAAAGCAUCUAAGUACGAAACUAGCCACGAGAUGAGAAUUCCAUAUAGGACCGUAGAAGACUACUACGUUGAUAGGUUAUAGAUGUAAAGCUGGUGACAGCAUAGUCGAGUAAUACUAAUCAUCCGAAGCUUUCAAAAG
rnacentral:rRNA from 1 species